rnacentral:rRNA from 1 species
AUUGAACGCUGGCGGCCGGCCUAACACAUGCAAGUCGAACGAGUGGCGGACGGGUGAGUAAUGUCUGGGCAACUGCCUGAUGGAGGGGGAUAACUACUGGAAACGGUAGCUAAUACCGCAUACCAUCGGAUGUGCCCAGAUGGGCUUAGCUAGUAGGUGGGGUAAAGGCUCACCUAGGCGACGGUCCCUAGCUGGUCUCAGAGGAUGACCAGACAAACUGGAACUGAGACACGGUCCAGAGUCCAACGGGAGGCAGCAGUGGGGAAUAUUGCACAAUGGGCGCAAGCCUGAUGCAGCCAGGCCGAGUGUAUGAAGAAGGCCUUAGGGUUGUAAAGUACUUUCAGCGGGGAGGCGUUACCCGCAGAAGAAGCACCGGCUAACUCCGUGCCAGCAGCCGCGGUAAUUC